rnacentral:ncRNA from 1 species
UCAAACGCAAUGAUGGAGAAAAGUAAGCUAUAGUCACAUUACAGGGAGGAAGAACCGUUGACUGGAAGUUCUUCUAUAGUGUAAGUUGCUGAAGUUCACUCCGGAGCAGCCGGCUGAAAAUUGGAGUAGGCUUGGACGGUUCUUCCCCCGUUAAAAGGAAGAGGGUAUUGGAUUUAUCCUGUACCCGAUCGAGUGGGCCUUAUAGUUGAGGCUAAAUUGGGUGGUAACACGGGAAUAACUUCUCGUCCCUGUA